UUCGGGUUGUAAACUCCUGUCAUGAGGGAGCAAAGCUCUUCGGAGCCUGAUAGUACCUCAAGAGGAAGGAACGGCAAACUCUGUGCCAGCAGCCGCGGUAAUACAGAGGUUCCAAGCGUUGUUCGGAUUCAUUGGGCGUAAAGGGUGCGUAGGCGGCGUGGUAAGUCAAAUGUGAAAUUACGGAGCUCAACUCCGUACUGCAUUCGAUACUGCCAUGCUAGAGGACUGGAGAGGAGACUGGAAUUCACGGUGUAGCAGUGAAAUGCGUAGAUAUCGUGAGGAAGACCAGUGGCGAAGGCGAGUCUCUGGACAGCUCCUGACGCUGAGGCACGAAGGCCAGGGUAGCGAACGGGAUUAGAUACCCCGGUAGUCCUGGCAGUAAACGUUGCACGUUUGGUGUGGGAGGAUUCGACCCCUUCCGUGCCGGAGCUAACGCGUUAAACGUGCCGCCUGGGGAGUACGGUCGCAAGAUUAAAACUCAAAGAAAUUGACGGGGGCCCGCACAAGCGGUGGAGUAUGUGGCUUAAUUCGAUGCAACGCGAAGAACCUUACCCAGCCUUGACAUGCAUUUCUAAACCGGUGAAAGCCGGCGAGUCUUCGGACAACUUGCACAGGUGCUGCAUGGCUGUCGUCAGCUCGUGUCGUGAGAUGUUGGGUUAAGUCCCGCAACGAGCGCAACCCCUGUGAACUGUUGCUAUCCUUUUGGAGCACUCUGUUCAGACUGCCCUGUCAAACGGGGAGGAAGGUGGGGACGACGUCAAGUCUGUAUGGCCCUUAUGGCUGGGGCUGCACACGUACUACAAUGCCCAGUACAAUGUGAACCGAAACCGCGAGGUGGAGGAAAUCGAUAAAACUGGGCCCAGUUCGGAUUGGAGGCUGCAACUCGCCUCCAUGAAGCCGGAAUCGCUAGUAAUGGCGCAUCAGCUACGGCGCCGUGAAUACGUUCCCGGGCCUUGUACACACCGCCCGUCACAUCAUGGAAGUCGCUUGUACCCGAAGCAUUCGCGCCAACCGCAAGGAGGCAGGGUUCGAAGGUAU
rnacentral:rRNA from 1 species